AAUGAACGCUGGCGGCGUGCCUAACACAUGCAAGUCGAGCGAACGCACGAGAAGCUUUCUUCUCUGAUUUUAGCGGCGGGCGGGUGAGUAACAUGUGUAUAACCUACCUAUAAGACUGGGGUAACUUCGGGAAACCGGUGCUUAUACCGGAUAAUCUUUUGAACCGCAUGGUUCAAGAGUUAAAGACGGUCUUGCUUUCGCUUAUAGCUGAAUCCGCGCGGCAUUAGCUAGUUGGUAGGGUAACGGCUUACCCAGGCAACGAUUCAUAGCCGACCUGAGAGGGUGAUCGGCCACACUGGAACUGAGACACGGUCCAGACUCCUACGGGAGGCAGCAGUAGGGAAUAUUGCGCAAUGGGCGAAAGCCUGACGGAGCAACGCCGCGUGAGUGAUGAAGGUCUUCGGAUCGUAAAGUUCUGUUAGUAGGGAGGAAGGUAUGUGUAUGUAACUGUGCACAUAUUGACGGUACCUGAUGAAAAAGCCACGGCUAACUACGUG
rnacentral:rRNA from 1 species